AUUGAACGCUGGCGGCAUGCCUUACACAUGCAAGUCGAACGGCAGCACGGGGCAACCUGGUGGCGAGUGGCGAACGGGUGAGUAAUACAUCGGAACGUGCCCGGAAGUGGGGGAUAACGUAGCGAAAGUUACGCUAAUACCGCAUAUUCUGUGAGCAGGAAAGCAGGGGAUCGCAAGACCUUGCGCUUUCGGAGCGGCCGAUGUCGGAUUAGCUAGUUGGUGAGGUAAAGGCUCACCAAGGCGACGAUCCGUAGCUGGUCUUAGAGGAUGAUCAGCCACACUGGGACUGAGACACGGCCCAGACUCCUACGGGAGGCAGCAGUGGGGAAUUUUGGACAAUGGGCGCAAGCCUGAUCCAGCCAUGCCGCGUGAGUGAAGAAGGCCUUCGGGUUGUAAAGCUCUUUCGGACAGAAAGAAAUCGCAUCGGCUAAUACUCGAUGUGGAUGACGGUACUGUCAUAAGAAGCACCGGCUAACUACGUGCCAGCCGCCGCUGUAAAAC
rnacentral:rRNA from 1 species